UACGUAGGGAGCAAGCGUUAUCCGGAAUUAUUGGGUGUAAAGGGUGCGUAGACGGGACAGCAAGUUAGUUGUGAAAUCCCUCGGCUUAACUGAGGAACUGCAACUAAAACUAUUGUUCUUGAGUGCAGGAGAGGAAAGCGGAAUUCCUAGUGUAGCGGUGAAAUGCGUAGAUAUUAGGAGGAACACCAGUGGCGAAGGCGGCUUACUGGACUGUAACUGACGUUGAGGCUCGAAGGUGCGGGUAUCGA
rnacentral:rRNA from 1 species